rnacentral:tRNA from 1 species
GUUAAUGUAGCUUAAUUCAUAAAGCAAGGCACUGAAAAUGCCUAGAUGAGUUUACCAAACUCCAUAAACA